CAACAACCAUAUCUUGAUUUCUGUGGACCAGGUGGGGCCCCUGCCAGCCUUGCUAGACAGACCCAGGUGAACAGUCCUUCUAGGGGAUCUCAUCACCAGGCAAGCACGUGGUACGAGAAGAGCAGUCAUUAGGAAGGCCAUUUGGAAAAGCACAUCCUCUCUGUUCACGAUGAAGACUGAUGCUAAGGAAAAAGAGAUGAGGCCUCCCUGGUUCCGCAUUAUUACUCCUUCCUUUCUUGGGUUACGGAUUGAACACUGACCUUUUCUUUCACUCUUCUGCAAGACAACCCCAUAAGAAAGCUGAAACCUGCUUUUGUGAAAGCCUAUGAUUACUAUAAGACAGGCACAGAGCAAGAAAAUGUUUGAGGCUUGUGUCUAUAAACAAGACUUGGCUGGAAUCCCC
rnacentral:lncRNA from 1 species